rnacentral:rRNA from 1 species
CCAAUAGCGUAUAUUAAAGUUGUUGCAGUUAAAAAGCUCGUAGUUGAAUUUCGGGGUUAAUACGUUGGUCGGGCUAUUUGGUCUGUACUUAUGUAAUGGAUUCCUACCUUCUGAAUAACCGGCAUGCCAUUAAUUUGGUGCGCCGGGGAAGCAGGACUGUUACCUUGAAAAAAUUAGAGUGCUUAAAGCAGGCUAUCGCCUGAAAUCAGUAGCAUGGAAUAAAGAAAUAGGAAGGUAUUGUUCUAAUUUGUUGGUUUCUAGGAUCACAGUAAUGAUUAAUAGGGAUAGUUGGGGGCAUUAGUAUUCAAUUGUCAGAGGUGAAAUUCUUGGAUUUAUUGAAGACUAACUACUGCGAAAGCAUUUGCCAAGGAUGUUUUCAUUAAUCAAGAACGAAAGUUAGGGGAUCGAAGACGAUCAGAUACCGUCGUAGUCUUAACCAUAAACUAUGCCGACUAGGGAUCGGACGAUGUUAAUUUUUUAAUGACUCGUUCGGCGCCUUACG